GAUGAACGCUGGCGGCGUGCUUAACACAUGCAAGUCGAACGAUGAACCGGGUGCUUGCACUCGGGGAUUAGUGGCGAACGGGUGAGUAACACGUGAGCAACCUGCCCCUGACUCAGGGCUAAGCGCUGGAAACGGCGUCUAAUACUGGAUAUGUCCCGUCACCGCAUGGUGUGCGGGUGGAAAGAUUUUUCGGUUGGGGAUGGGCUCGCGGCCUAUCAGCUUGUUGGUGAGGUAAUGGCUCACCAAGGCGUCGACGGGUAGCCGGCCUGAGAGGGUGACCUGCCACACUGGGACUGAGACACGGCCCAGACUCCUACGGGAGGCAGCAGUGGGGAAUAUUACACAAUGGGCGGAAGCCUGAUGUAGCAACGCCGCGUGAGGGAUGACGUCCUUCGGGUUGUAAACCUCUUUUAGCAGGGAAGAAGCGAGAGUGACGGUACCUGCAGAAAAAGCACCGGCUAACUACGUGCCAGCAGCCGCAGUAA
rnacentral:rRNA from 1 species